GAUGAACGCUGGCGGCGUGCUUAACACAUGCAGGUCGAACGAUGAACCUCACUUGUGGGGGGAUUAGUGGCGAACGGGUGAGUAACACGUGAGUAACCUGCCCUUAACUCUGGGAUAAGCCUGGGAAACUGGGUCUAAUACCGGAUAUGACUCCUCAUAGCAUGGUGGGGGGUGGAAAGCUUUUUGUGGUUUUGGAUGGACUCGCGGCCUAUCAGCUUGUUGGUGAGGUAAUGGCUCACCAAGGCGACGACGGGUAGCCGGCCUGAGAGGGUGACCGGCCACACUGGGACUGAGACACGGCCCAGACUCCUACGGGAGGCAGCAGUGGGGAGUAUUGCACAAUGGGCGAAAGCCUGAUGCAGCGACGCCGCGUGAGGGAUGACGGCCUUCGGGUUGUAAACCUCUUUCAGUAGGGAAGAAGCGAAAGUGA
rnacentral:rRNA from 1 species